rnacentral:rRNA from 1 species
UACGUAGGGUGCGAGCGUUGUCCGGAUUUACUGGGUUUAAAGGGUGUGUAGGCGGGCUGUUAAGUCAGUGGUGAAAUCUCCGGGCUCAACCCGGAAACUGCCAUUGAUACUAAUGGUCUUGAAUUUUGUUGAGGUAGGCGGAAUAAGUCAUGUAGCGGUGAAAUGCAUAGAUAUGACUUAGAACACCAAUUGCGAAGGCAGCUUGCUAAACAAAUAUUGACGCUGAGGCACGAAAGCGUGGGGAUCAAACAGG